rnacentral:rRNA from 1 species
GAGCUGGGUUCAGAACGUCGUGAGACAGUUCGGUCCCUAUCUGUCGUGGGCGCAGGAAAUUUGAGAGGAGCUGUCCUUAGUACGAGAGGACCGGGAUGGACGUACCGCUGGUGCACCAGUUGUUCCGCCAGGAGCAUGGCUGGGUAGCUACGUACGGACGGGAUAAGCGCUGAAAGCAUCUAAGCGUGAAGCCCCCCUCAAGAUGAGAUUUCCCAGUAUGUAAGACCCCUUGAAGACGACGAGGUAGAUAGGUUGGAGGUGGAAGCACGGCAACGUGUGGAGCUGACCAAUACUAAUCGGUCGAGGGCUUAUCCA